rnacentral:lncRNA from 1 species
CAAACUUGGUACACUUGUUCCCUAUGAUAUGAUAUUUCUAAUUUUAAUGCCAAAUUAGAGAUUUUACCCCAAUUUCACGGUCCACUGAACAUAGAAAAUGAUAGUGCGAGUGGGGCAUUCGUGUACUGAGGACACAUUCUUGUUUACAAAUAUUUUUAUGCCCCACCUACGAUAGUAGAGGGGCAUUAUGUUUUCUGGUCUGUGCGUCCGUUCGUUCGUCCGUUCGUUCGUCCGUCUGUCCCGCUUCAGGUUAAAGUUUUUGGUCGAGGUAGUUUUUGAUGAAGUUGAAGUCCAAUCGACUUCAAACUUGGUACACUUGUUCCCUAUGAUAUGAUCUUUCUAAUUUUAAUGCCAAAUUAGAGAUUUUACCCCAAAUUUCACGGUCCACUGAACAUAGAAAAUGAUAGUGCGAGUGGGGCAUUCGUGUACUGAGGACACAUUCUGGUUUACAAAUAUUU